UACGUAUGGGGCAAGCGUUAUCCGGAUUUACUGGGUGUAAAGGGAGCGUAGGCGGCCUGGCAAGCCUGAUGUGAAAUACCGGGGCCCAACCCCGGGGCUGCAUUGGGAACUGCCAGGCUGGAGUGCCGGAGAGGCAGGCGGAAUUCCUAGUGUAGCGGUGAAAUGCGUAGAUAUUAGGAGGAACACCAGUGGCGAAGGCGGCCUGCUGGACGGUGACUGACGCUGAGGCCCGAAAGCGUGGGGAGCAAACAGG
rnacentral:rRNA from 1 species